rnacentral:misc_RNA from 1 species
AAUUCUCAACCUACACUUGGUUUUACGACCGAGCUUGUAUGGAUUGGAUUUGGGAGCUGCUGGAAACCUAACGGUGUUCAGCUCUUCUUAAAAGUAUUAGCGGUGACUCUGGCGACCGUUACUUGGUGUGAUAAUUAUCUACGCCUUGUCUAAUGGGAGCCAUAAUAAUGGUCGCAGCUUCUAACUGUCUGUUAACUCAGACUGUUUGCUUGUAAACACUUUUUAA